UACGGAGGAUGCAAGCGUUAUCCGGAUUCAUUGGGUUUAAAGGGUGCGCAGGCGGAGAUAUAAGUCAGUGGUGAAAAACUGCCGCUCAACGGUAGUCUUGCCAUUGAUACUGUUUCUCUUGAGUAUGGAUGAGGUAGGCGGAAUGUCCAGUGUAGCGGUGAAAUGCAUAGAUAUUGCACGGAACACCAAUUGCGAAGGCAGCUUACUGGGCCAUUACUGACGCUCAGGCACGUAAGCGUGGGGAUCAAACA
rnacentral:rRNA from 1 species